rnacentral:lncRNA from 1 species
UCUACCAACUCUUUUGUACUCUUCAAGCAUAGUACAGUGCUGUGCAUAUAGGUGCUCAAGAAAUACCAUUUAUUGAAUGUUAGGUGCUUAAAAGGUACAGAUCCAAGUUUAUAGUGACAAACACAUGCAUGAUUGCAAACACACUCUCUCUGUCUCUCUCUCUGCCUCUCUUGCUUCAGAACUCCAAAGAUUUAAGGUCUAGAUUGACAUCAACAGUAAAGGUUCCGUGACACACAAUAGCCCAGAAGUUGGAAUCCACAGAAUUCUACCCCCAAGCAAGAACCAGGAGGAAGUUUGGCAGCAGGAGUGUUACAGUUGAGCUCCAUCCCGGUUGCUCCUGCAAUGCCCCCUCCUCAGCUCCUCCCAGGUUAGCCCCAAGAACUAGGGUCACAGCUUUGAAGCAAGCAUAAGUUUUAUUUCUGCUCUCUCUCACUUUGGGUGCGUUCCAAAAGGAGCCUCUCAACCGCAUCUGUAACAGGACACCUCAGUUCACGUCGGACCAUUCACAGCAGCAGAAGGGCAGGAUCGGCUGUAGAAAAGGAGACUGAAGAGUUUUCUGCCCCUGCCCAGGGGAGCAAGGUUCCAUGUAGAAGAACCAAUGUGUGCCCAAGAGGCACAGCUGCUAGACCACAGUUCAGAGCCAGAGAAAUUACUUCCACCUCUACCCUACCCUGGCAGCCACUCGAAUUAGGAAUACUGACAUGUUUACAGACAUUAUGGAUGUGACCGAUUUGGGGAUCUUAUGGGCGGUCCAUAAAUUUACAGAAAGUUGACAACACCAUUGUCCCGGAAUACUAUGGGACUUGAUACCUAUAUUUCCUUCCCCAAACUCAACUGGCCUCUUACCAAGAGGAAAGGGAAAGGCCUAGUGGAGAUAAGAUUAAUGACUUUGGAAACCCAUGCCACUAGCGCCACCUCGGAGCCCA